rnacentral:rRNA from 1 species
UACGUAGGGGGCAAGCGUUGUCCGGAAUCAUUGGGCGUAAAGAGCGUGUAGGCGGCCCGAUAAGUCCGCUGUGAAAGUCCAGGGCUCAACCCUGGAAUGCCGGUGGAUACUGUCGGGCUCGAAUCCGGAAGAGGUGAGUGGAAUUCCUGGUGUAGCGGUGAAAUGCGCAGAUAUCAGGAGGAACACCAAUGGCGAAGGCAGCUCACUGGGACGGUAUUGACGCUGAGACGCGAAAGCGUGGGGAGCAAACAGGAUUAGAUACCCCCGUAGUCC